AUUGAUUCAAAACUCAAUAUAUGAGCUACAGUAAUUCUUGGAUGCUCUUCAUUGUUACUACCCUGCGUUCUGUUGCCUUGCCCUUCUUCACCCGCAAGCUUUCUCCUUCGUCUCCUUCUCUCCGUCUGUCGUCUUCUUCGUUGUCAUCUUCCAAGCAUGUGUUGCUUUGCUCUUGGUUGGGUAAUCACGAAUGGUGCUAGCCUUGCAUCUUAUCCAAUUGACACUGUCCAUAGAAGAACAAUGAUGACAUCUGGUGAAGCAUACUUGAGUUCCUUUGAUGCAUUCUCUCAAAUCCACAAGAAUGAGGGUCCCAAAUCUCUCUUCAAGGGAGCUGGUGCAAAUAUACUCCAUCCUAGUCCAUAGUCCUUGGUUGUCAAAGCGGUCUUAAUUUCACUUUGUUAGUUUUUUAUUCAUACGCAAUUAUAAUUUGCUCCUUUUCGAAUUAUUACCAAUUUCAAAUUUGGGGGAAGCUUUUACUAAACAUUGAUGAUCAUUGUCUCCAUAUCAUUUAUCUCCCAAGGUUUUGUUUUACCCUAG